rnacentral:rRNA from 1 species
GAUGAACGCUGGCGGCGUGCCUAAUACAUGCAAGUCGAGCGAACAGAUAAGGAGCUUGCUCCUUUGACGUUAGCGGCGGACGGGUGAGUUACACGUGGAUAACCUACCUAUAAGACUGGGAUAACUUCGGGAAACCGGAGCUAAUACCGGAUAACAUAUUGAACCGCAUGGUUCAAUAGUGAAAGGCGGCUUUGCUGUCACUUAUAGAUGGAUCCGCGCCGUAUUAGCUAGUUGGUAAGGUAACGGCUUACCAAGGCAACGAUUCGUAGCCGACCUGAGAGGGGGAUCGGCCACACUGGAACUGAGACACGGUCCAGACUCCUACGGGAGGCAGCAGUAGGGAAUCUUCCGCAAUGGGCGAAAGCCUGACGGAGCAACGCCGCGUGAGUGAUGAAGGUCUUCGGAUCGUAAAACUCUGUUAUCAGGGAAGAACAAAUGUGUAAGUAACUGUGCACAUCUUGACGGUACCUGAUCAGAAAGCCACGGCUAACUACGUG